rnacentral:rRNA from 1 species
GUGCCAGCCGCCGCGGUAAGACAGAGGGUGCAAACGUUGUUCGGAAUUACUGGGCGUAAAGCGCGUGUAGGCUGUUCGGAAAGUCGGAUGUGAAAGCCCUGGGCUUAACCCAGGAAGUGCAUUCGAAACUCCCGAACUGGAGUCCCGGAGAGGAAGGCGGAAUUCUCGGUGUAGAGGUGAAAUUCGUAGAUAUCGAGAGGAACAUCGGUGGCGAAGGCGGCCUUCUGGACGGUGACUGACGCUGAGACGCGAAAGCGUGGGGAGCAAACAGGAUUAGAAACCCGAGUAGUCC